rnacentral:misc_RNA from 1 species
AACCUUAUAUCACGGGGGCCGGCCUUGAAUUGCUUGCAGUUCUAAUGCGACGGCUUUUGCCGAUCCAUUGUAAUACUCAGCUUUUCUCUCCGCCCUGUCGGAACAUUACCCAUGAUUUUUGCGUACCUAUUGUUUCCUCGGCAGGCUUGCCUGCCAGCAGGACCCUUUUAAACUAUCUUGCAAUUGCAGUCAGCGUCAGAAAAACUUUAAUAGUUA